rnacentral:rRNA from 1 species
AAACGACUCUCGGCAACGGAUAUCUUGGGUCUCGCAUCGAUGAAGAACGCAGCAAAAUGCGAUACUUGGUGUGAAUUGCAGAAUCCCGUGAACCAUCGAGUUUUUGAACGCAAGUUGCGCCCGAAGCCAUUAUGCUGAGGGCACGUCUGCCUGGGCGUCACGC